AGAGAAUCACCUCAGAAAGGAAGAGAUGAACAAUAUGAAUGAUGAAGAUGCUGCUAAGUGAGAAGCACCCGUGGGGUGGGAGGAAGGACACGACAUUAUCAAUGUUGAUCAAUGUUGAAGGACAUGACAUUAUCAGUGAAGAUGGUGGUGAGAGAGAGGAAGCAGUGGGAUGGAGACACCACGAGUCACUUGUCGAUUAAUGACUCUAGUGCCUAUGGCCAACCUUGGAAAGGCAUGGCCAAAGCACCUGUGUGAGCCACUGCUACAGAAUCUGGAGGAGCUGACAUAGAGAAGAAACUCAGGUUCCUCCUGAAGGACCCAUCCAUGGAGAGGUCCUCCCAGAUACCCUGGGGCGAGGUGAUGAAGACCUGGGACAAGGCCCUCAGCCACAGGAAGAAGAUGACCAUGAAGAGCUUGGGGAAGCAAAUGCAGAGAAAGGCCUGUGUGUGUGCCAGGUUUGUAUUGUGCCGUCUACAAGUGGCAUAAACACAGGAACCCCUUUCCCUGUUCCUGGCCUGUGGACCUUUCUGUGAGGCAUGGGGUAGCAGGAGAGAACAACAAUGACAACGCCCUUUCAGGCUCCCUCUUCUCAUGAACAGCUCCCUCUACAGCACAGAGAACAGUCUCUCCAGGCCUCUCUGGAAAGCAGCAUUUUAAAUUGCCUCACACCAGCUCCUGUCUAGAGUCCAGCCGAACAACAGAAGGAAAGUUCACCUUUACCAGUAACCCAAGAAUUUCUAACUAGGGAAAAAAUGGUGCCAUUUUUUUCUACUGGAUCACCUCCCGCUCCAGCGAAGAUGAAAAGGCUAGCUAAUUCCAGUGCUGGCAUGGGUGUGAGCAAGCUGACAAUGGGUAGGCUGUUGUUGGGAUUAUAGACCAAUAAAACCUCACUGGAUAAUAGUUUAGCAUUACAGAUUUUUUUAAACCCUUUAACGUAUAUGCUUACAUUUUACCCAUCAAUCCAAAUCUGUCAGCUUAUUCUCAAAAAAUAACCAUACAAGUUGUAAAAUGUAUAUUAAAAGAUAAUGAUCAUGUCUGUUUUAAUAUGAAUAAAUUAAAAGAGCACAUAAAUACAAAAUUAUAUUUAAAACUGGCUAACUUCGUUUUAGUACAUCUAUCUAAUGGGCUGCAUGAAUACAUUAGCAGCGUAUGAAAGGAAUAUUUAUUGAUGUGGAAACAUCUACUUCCUAUAUUACAGCAGGCAGUGUAAGCCUGAUGUCUGCUUUGGUAGCAUCUUAGUGGGGCACAGAUUGUAUGGAAACAGAAAGUUCAUUUUAGCACAACAGCUAUGGGUCAGGAUUUUUUGUGGGCUGUUCUUGAGUAGAGUUAAACAGUUUUUGAGAAGCAAGCCAGAGUGUCUCUGAAGAGAACAGAG
rnacentral:lncRNA from 1 species